AGAUUAUGAUUAGGGCACCUCUGCAGCAAUCCUUUAAACCGUUCUCAGGCAUCAUAGUGAUUCACCAAAUUCCGGACAAAAAUUGAUGAUAUCAUUUCGAGUCU